rnacentral:rRNA from 1 species
CCUACGGGGGGCUGCAGUAGGGAAUAUUGCUCAAUGGGGGAAACCCUGAAGCAGCAACGCCGCGUGGAGGAUGAAGGUGGUCGGAUGGUAAACUCCUGGUGUUAGAGAAGAGAAGGACGGUAGCUAACGAAGAAGCACCGGCUAACUCCGUGCCAGCAGCCGCGGUAAUACGGAGGGUGCAAGCGUUACUCGGAAUCACUGGGCGUAAAGAGCGCGUAGGCGGGAUAGCAAGUCAGAUGUGAAAUCCUAUGGCUUAACCAUAGAACUGCAUUUGAAACUGUUAUUCUAGAGUAUGGGAGAGGUCGUUGGCCUUCUUGGUGUCGUGGUCAACUCCGUAGCGCUCCCGAGGACUACUCAUUGCG